rnacentral:rRNA from 1 species
GAUGAACGCUGGCGGCGUGCCUAAUACAUGCAAGUCGAGCGAAUGAAUUAAGAGCUUGCUCUUAUGAAGUUAGCGGCGGACGGGUGAGUAACACGUGGGUAACCUGCCCAUAAGACUGGGAUAACUCCGGGAAACCGGGGCUAAUACCGGAUAACAUUUUGAACCGCAUGGUUCGAAAUUGAAAGGCGGCUUCGGCUGUCACUUAUGGAUGGACCCGCGUCGCAUUAGCUAGUUGGUGAGGUAACGGCUCACCAAGGCAACGAUGCGUAGCCGACCUGGGAGGGUGAUCGGCAACACUGGGACUGAGACACGGCCCAGACUCCUACGGGAGGCAGCAGUAGGGAAUCUUCCGCAAUGGACGAAAGUCUGACGGAGCAACGCCGCGUGAGUGAUGAAGGCUUUCGGGUCGUAAAACUCUGUUGUUAGGGAAGAACAAGUGCUAGUUGAAUAAGCUGGCACCUUGACGGUACCUAACCAGAAAGCCACGGCUAACUACGUCCCAGCCGCCGCCGUAA